AGCUCCAAUAGCGUAUAUUAAUGUUGUUGCAGUUAAAAAGCUCGUAGUUGAAUAUCUGGACUCAACUUUCGGUCCGGGGCCUUGUGUCCUGCGUACUGUUCUUGUUGGGUCCAUCUUAGUAGUGAAUGGUUCUGGCAUUAAGUUGUUGGGGUCGGGAGCUGCUUCGUUUACUGUGAAUAAAAUAGAGUGUUUAAAGCAGGCAUUACGCCUUGAAUACUUCAGCAUGGAAUAAAAUUAUAGGACUUAGUUGCUAUUUUAUUGGUUUGCGCACCUAGUAAUGAUUAAUAGGGACAGUUGGGGGUAUUCAUAUUUGAUUGUCAGAGGUGAAAUUCUUGGAUUUAUGAAAGAUGAACUUAUGCGAAAGCAUUUACCAAGGAUGUUUUCAUUAAUCAAGAACGAA
rnacentral:rRNA from 1 species